rnacentral:rRNA from 1 species
AUGGGGAGGGAGGACAGGUUCCCGGUCUGGGAGGCCGCGCUCGGCGCCGGGGUCGCCGCCGUCUUCGCCGCGGGCCUCGUCGGGGUCUACCUCUCCAUGCCGGACUCCGACUACAGCUUCCUCAAGUUGCCCCGCAACCUCCACGAACUCCAAAUCCUCACUGGCCAUCUUGAGAACUAUACCAGUGACUACACCGUACAGGUGUUGAUAGGUUACUGUGCUGUGUACAUUUUCAUGCAGACCUUCAUGAUCCCAGGGACAAUAUUCAUGUCAUUGCUUGCUGGUGCUCUGUUCGGGCAACUCCGGGGUGUGGCUCUGGUUGUCUUUGCUGCCUCUGCUGGUGCUUCUUCAUGCUUUUUCCUGUCAAAGAUGAUUGGAAAACCGCUGGUGUUCGUGCUGUGGCCAGACAAGCUCACAUUCUUCCAGAAGCAGGUCGCCAAAAGAAGAGAAAAGCUGUUGAAUUACAUGCUUUUCCUCAGGGUCACCCCAACAUUGCCAAAUACAUUCAUCAACUUGGCAUCGCCCAUUGUUGAUGUGCCCUUCCAUACCUUCUUAUUGGCAACUCUUAUCGGUCUCAUCCCAGCAGCCUACGUGACCGUGAGGGCUGGGAUUGCUCUGGGAGAGCUAACAUCGCUCAGCGACCUGUAUGACACCCAGUCAGUAGCCCUGCUUUUCUUGAUCGGCGUGGUCUCGGUCACACCAGCAUUGUUGAGCAAGGACGAGGCGCAAGACACGGCACCAGAAAUCGCAGCAGGCGCCUCAUGA